ACUAACCCCGUAAAUGGGGUUCCAAAUCCAAAUCUGUCUCCUUUUUUCUGUUAAUUUCAGUUUGCAUAUCACAAGACUUCUUAACUCUGCAAACAGGGAUUUCAGCAUGGUGCAGUAAAAUUCACUUAUAUCUGCCCUCUCUGCGUCUGAGAAUUGGCUGUCUGUUUUCUCCAGGUAUUGUAACACUCACCUCUUCACCUGCCAUCCCUUUUACUUCCCAUAUAUCAGAUGGAUUCUGCUGGACCGGUAACAACCUAGGUAUGUCAUUUCUUUUUAGUCAUAGAGUUUAAGGCCAGAAGGGAUCACCAGAUCAUCUAGUCUGACCUCCUGUAUAUAACAGGGCACCAACACCACCCAGCACCACCAGCACGCUAGACCCAGCAACUGAAAUGAGACCAAGUAAAUGAGAACCACAGGAGACUAGACCAUUAGGUGCCACAGUCAGAGAAGAGGAGGGACUGAGGUGCACCAGUGAUGAAGGCUCCUGUAAUGGCAGGGAAAUGAUUACAUGGGUUAAUUUGAGAUUGGUCCAAGCUGCAGAGUUCAGAUCCAAAUCCAAAGUUCUCUUGUGAUUACACAACUCAGAUGAGAAAACAAUGAAGCUGACUGUGUAGGUAUACAUAGAUAGUAUCAUUAUGUAUUUGUACUGUGGUAGCACCUAGCAGCCCCAGUCAUGGAUCAGUGCCCCACGGUGCUAGAGUCCUGAUCUGAAUAUACUAGCCAAAGUCUAAAUUAGGCC
rnacentral:lncRNA from 1 species